UAACUAGUUUAAUAAUAAAGUUUAAUCAUACACUCAACUAAAAAAUAAACAACAUGGCAUCUAUAUGUUAUACAUCGAACCUUACCAAACAUCUCAUCUCUCAUGAGCCAUGGCCGGAGAUUAUGAUCCUGAAGCAACUCCCUCGUCACCGGAAUAUAAGCCCUUAGCUUCAUCCAGCCGCGAUCUAGACGGCGCCGUUCUGAUAUCACAUCCUUCCUCGAUCAGCCGACGUCGUUUCAUCAUCUCUUUAUUUCUCAUUUCUUUUGCCUCGAUCCUCAUCUACAUCUUCUGGCCGUCAGAUCCACGCAUCAAAAUCGAACGGGUCAAAGUUUCCCACGUGCACGUCCACCGUCGACCGGUGCCGUCUAUAGACAUGACGAUGCUCGUUACGCUCAAAGUAUCCAAUGCUGACGUGUACUCUUUUGACUUCACGGCGCUUGACGUUGCGAUUGGUUACAGAGGGAAGACGUUAGGUCACGUGAGUUCGGAUGGCGGGCACGUGAAGGCUAUGGGUUCGUCUUAUCUUGAAGCGGAGACCCAGCUUGACGGCGUCACGGUGUUUGCUGACGUCAUUAACCUGAUACAUGAUUUGGCCAAGGGCUCCAUCGAGUUUGACACCGUUACCGAGACUAACGGGAAACUUGGCGUUUUGUUCUUCCGUUUCCCUUUAAAGGCGAAAGUGGCAUGUGGGAUUCUAAUAAAUACAGUUAAUCAGACAAUUUCUCGUCAGAGCUGUAGACCUAUCUGAUUCAAGAGACAUCAUCUGAUAUUUUGUUUCAGUUAAGGAGUAAAUCCCAUAGACGAGACAACGUUAUCUUCUUUGUGCGCCUCCUCUUGAAUUUUGGGGUUCUUCAUUUUCUUUGAUAUCUGACUUCAACAAUGGAGUUCUGAAAGAUUGAAAUGCUCAAAUCGACGCGAAGAAUAUCUCUGUAGUGUAUCAAUCACGUUGUUUAAUCUUACAUCUCAAUCGAAACGUUUUCGAGUUACAGAUUUAUCGUUUUUAACGCCUUAUUAGGCUUCCUCAUCUAUGGAUUCUACGUGAGCCGAAUCCAUCUUCAUUCAGAACCAUCGGCGUUAAUGGAGUUACUUUAGGUUGUUUGAAAAGAAUCUGCCUUAGGAAUCUCUUGGUCGAUCUUCAUUCGAGUCUGUUCGUUCUUCUCCUCCAAAACGUUCCAUUCAUGGCCAUUAAGAACCAUAAUUAAUUCUUCGACCCACACAAUGCUUCUUUUUUCUCUUUCAGUCGGUGUUUAUCCAACUAUAAAAGGUCAGUCCUCAUCUCAUGAAAAUCAUCCUCUCAAUUCCUAAAAACAGUCAGAUACGUAUUUUUCUGUUCAGUGGCUAACUCAUGGCUGGCUUGAAAGCUGGUCACUGCUCUUCCACCGUACAGGUGAGGCUACUCAGAUUUUGGGAAGCUUGGAACAUCAACGGUGGCUGAGGAGAGCUGAUGGAGAUAGAUAGACAUGCUACUCAUCGAUGCUAAGAUAAACAACAACCGCUACGAAAAUUGCAAAACCAACAAUCAAAGAACUCAAGUUUUGCAUGACUUUGUUAGGUUCUUUUGUGAGGAACUCAAUCAAAGAACCACUAAUUAGGUUCCUUUGUUGGGAAAGACUACAAUAUCUGCAGUGAUCUGUUGUCUCGGCUUAAGGUUUUUCUGACGAAAUUCAUAAAGUCUGUCUCCAUUGUUUGAGAAUACACCAAAUGCUGCUCAGGAGCUCACUCUUGCAGGUUCCACAAAAUUGUUCCUCUUAACGCAGUAAUGUAUUUGGAGCUGAAGACAAUGGCCCUGCUGAAAAAGUGACACUCCCUCAUAAUGAAAACUCUUAACAGCCUCCCUGAGACAAGCAGUGCCAUCCCCAAUGUAGAGAUUGAUGCUAAUUUUCUCUGGAUCUUCGAGUCAGAAGAACGCGAGUUUCUUCAACAUACGGUCUUUCCAGCCCAUGAGCAUAUGGAGAAUGGUUGACCACGACCCUUUAGUUCUGCACCCAUGGUUUGACCAUCGUUUGAGCGUCCAUGGUCACGUGUUCUUCAGUCAUAGACCAAGUGACUUCUACCCGAGCUUCAGGUUUUGCUAGGAACCUUCUGGAAAAGGUGUUACAGUGUUAUUAUGGGGUUUAUUUGUCUGAAAGCGACGAAGACAAUGAAGCUAUGAUAUUGAGAGUUCUAAGCUGCAAAACAGUUCUUAUCAAAGCUUAAGAAGGCUUCGGUAUUGAGUUCUUAUCAAAGCUUAAGAAAGCUUGAGAAGGCUUCGGUAUUGAGUUCCAUUUUGAUGAGUAAACAAGUCUAACGAUAUCAGAUACAGAGGACAAAGUCGAGGAGAACACAUUUGAUUCUGCAGCUUUGUUUGCACUUUUGAUGGCAGCCCUUGCUGGUGGAAUGAGAAAUUAUACAAUUAAUCCUCAAGUAAAUUAUUAUGGUACAAACAGAAAGAUGUCUUGACAUGUUACCAAUAUUAGAAACGAACCAGUCAUAGAAUUGAAAAAAAUAAUUAUAAUAUUGGAAUGACAACAAAUCGACAUGAUUAUGUUAGAGCUGUAAAACAGCAAAUGUAAAAUUGUAC